rnacentral:rRNA from 1 species
CCUACGGGAGACAGCAGUGGGGAAUAUUGCACAAUGGGGGAAACCCUGAUGCAGCGACGCCGCGUGAGUGAAGAAGUAUUUCGGUAUGUAAAGCUCUAUCAGCAGGGAAGAAAAUGACGGUACCUGAUUAAGAAGCCCCGGCUAACUACGUGCCAGCAGCCGCGGUAAUACGUAGGGGGCAAGCGUUAUCCGGAUUUACUGGGUGUAAAGGGAGCGUAGACGGCAGCACAAGUCUGGAGUGAAAUGCCGGGGCUUAACCCCGGAACUGCUUUGGAAACUGUGCAGCUAGAGUGCAGGAGAGGUAAGUGGAAUUCCUAGUGUAGCGGUGAAAUGCGUAGAUAUUAGGAGGAACACCAGUGGCGAAGGCGGCUUACUGGACUGUAACUGACGUUGAGGCUCGAAAGCGUGGGUAGCAAACAGGAUUAGAUACCCGUGUAGUC